AAUCCAUAGGUUAAUGAGGCGAACCGGGGGAACUGAAACAUCUAAGUACCCCGAGGAAAAGAAAUCAACCGAGAUUCCCCCAGUAGCGGCGAGCGAACGGGGAGGAGCCCAGAGCCUGAAUCAGCAUGUGUGUUAGUGGAAGCGUCUGGAAAGGCGCGCGAUACAGGGUGACAGCCCCGUACACAAAAGCGCAUGUGCUGUGAGCUCGAUGAGUAGGGCGGGACACGUGGUAUCCUGUCUGAAUAUGGGGGGACCAUCCUCCAAGGCUAAAUACUCCUGACUGACCGAUAGUGAACCAGUACCGUGAGGGAAAGGCGAAAAGAACCCCGGCGAGGGGAGUGAAAAAGAACCUGAAACCGUGUACGUACAAGCAGUGGGAGCACAGGUUUACCUGUGUGACUGCGU
rnacentral:rRNA from 1 species